GCCCGCGUGGCCUAAUGGAUAAGGCGUCUGACUUCUAAUCAGAAGAUUGCCGGUUCGAUCCCGGCCGUGGGCU
rfam:Heligmosomoides polygyrus genome assembly, scaffold: HPBE_scaffold0002065